rnacentral:tRNA from 1 species
AUUUAUAUAGCUUAUGUUUAGAGCGUGAUAUUGAAGAUAUCAAUGAGGCCCAGGCCUGUAAAUA